rnacentral:rRNA from 1 species
GAUGAACGCUGGCGGCGUGCCUAAUACAUGCAAGUCGAGCGAACAGAUGAGGAGCUUGCUCCUCUGACGUUAGCGGCGGACGGGUGAGUAACACGUGGAUAACCUACCUAUAAGACUGGGAUAACUUCGGGAAACCGGAGCUAAUACCGGAUAAUAUAUUGAACCGCAUGGUUCAAUAGUGAAAGACGGUUUUGCUGUCACUUAUAGAUGGAUCCGCGCCGCAUUAGCUAGUUGGUAAGGUAACGGCUUACCAAGGCAACGAUGCGUUGCCGACCUGAGAGGGUGAUCGGCCACACUGGAACGGAGACACGGUCCAGACGCCUACGGGAGGCAGCAGUAGGGAAUCUUCCGCAAUGGGCGAAAGCCUGACGGAGCAAUGCCGCGUGAGUGAUGAAGGUCUUCGGAUCGUAAAACUCUGUUAUGAGGGAAGAACAAAUGUGUAAGUAACUAUGCACGUCUUGACGGUACCGAAUCAGAAAGCCACGGCUAACUACGUG